rnacentral:rRNA from 1 species
CCUACGGGGCGCAGCAGUGGGGAAUAUUGGACAAUGGGCGAAAGCCUGAUCCAGCAAUGCCGCGUGUGUGAAGAAGGUCUUCGGAUUGUAAAGCACUUUCGACGGGGACGAUGAUGACAGUACCCGUAGAAGAAGCCCCGGCUAACUUCGUGCCAGCAGCCGCGGUAAUACGAAGGGGGCUAGCGUUGCUCGGAAUGACUGGGCGUAAAGGGCGCGUAGGCGGAUAGAUAAGUCAGAGGUGAAAUCCCGGGGCUCAACCCCGGAAUUGCCUUUGAUACUGCUUAUCUUGAGUGCAGAAGAGGUAAGUAGAAUUCCGAGUGUAGAGGUGAAAUUCGUAGAUAUUCGGAGGAACACCAGUGGCGAAGGCGGCUUACUGGUCUGCAACUGACGCUGAGGCGCGAAAGCGUGGGGAGCAAACAGGAUUAGAUACCCUCGUAGUC